rnacentral:rRNA from 1 species
AUGUUGUUGGUUCCAGCUCUCGAUUUGCAGGUUGUAGCAAAAACAAAAGCUGGUUCCAGCUCUGGGUUUUGCCGGGACAAAAAUCAUUUGCUGGAAAAGCAUUGCUGGUCGCUGCUUCCGCCGGUUGCCGUGGUAGCAAAAAACAUGCUAGUUGUAGCAAAAUCCUGCUACGGUUGCAGCAAAACAUCGUUGUCGUCGUCGCGAGGGUCCGAGCUCCGCCUGAUGGAUGUAGCAAAAAGCUUCGCCGGUGGUAGCAAAAUUCAACUAUGGUUGCAGCUUCCCCCUUGUUGUGCAGUGCCAUUGAAGCUUUCUAUGUCUAUGGUUGAAGCUUUUUUGAAUGGCCGUUGA